rnacentral:rRNA from 1 species
AGCAGUCGCCACGGGAAUACGAAGGGGGCUAGCGUUGCUCGGAAUGACUGGGCGUAAAGGGCGCGUAGGCGGAUGGCACAGUCAGAUGUGAAAUUCCCGGGCUUAACCUGGGGGCUGCAUUUGAUACGUGUUGUCUAGAGUGAGGAAGAGGGUUGUGGAAUUCCCAGUGUAGAAGUGAAAUUCGUAGAUAUUGGGAAGAACACCGGUGGCGAAGGCGGCAACCUGGUCCUUGACUGACGCUGAGGCGCGAAAGCGUGGGGAGCAAACAGGAUUAGAGACCCCGGUAGUCCCUGUCUCUUAUAC